GCCCCUCUAGCUCAAUGGCAGAGCAGCGGACUUUUAAUCCGACGGUUGGCGGUUCGAGCCCGCCGGGGGGCA
rnacentral:tRNA from 1 species